ACGGCAGCACGGGAGCUUGCUCCUGGUGGCGAGUGGCGAACGGGUGAGUAAUGCGUCGGAACGUACCGAGUAAUGGGGGAUAACGCAGCGAAAGUUGUGCUAAUACCGCAUACGCCCUGAGGGGGAAAGUGGGGGACCGCAAGGCCUCACGUUAUUCGAGCGGCCGACGUCUGAUUAGCUAGUUGGUGGGGUAAAGGCCUACCAAGGCGACGAUCAGUAGCGGGUCUGAGAGGAUGAUCCGCCACACUGGGACUGAGACACGGCCCAGACUCCUACGGGAGGCAGCAGUGGGGAAUUUUGGACAAUGGGGGCAACCCUGAUCCAGCCAUUCCGCGUGAGUGAAGAAGGCCUUCGGGUUGUAAAGCUCUUUCAGCUGGAACGAAACGGUACGCGCUAACAUCGCGUGCUAAUGACGGUACCAGCAGAAGAAGCACCGGCUAACUACGUGCCAGCAGCCGCGGUAAUACGUAGGGUGCGAGCGUUAAUCGGAAUUACUGGGCGUAAAGCGUGCGCAGGCGGAUUGUUAAGCAAGACGUGAAAUCCCCGGGCUUAACCUGGGAAUGGCGUUUUGAGCUGGCAGUCUAGAGUGUGUCAGAGGGG
rnacentral:rRNA from 1 species